rnacentral:tRNA from 1 species
GGGGCCGUAGCUCAGCUGGGAGAGCGGCUGCUUUGCAAGCAGGAUGUCGUCGGUUCGAUCCCGUCCGGCUCUACCA